GAUGAACGCUGGCGGCGUGCCUAAUACAUGCAAGUCGAGCGAACGGACGAGAAGCUUGCUUUUCUGAUGUUAGCGGCGGACGGGUGAGUAACACGUGGAUAACCUACCUAUAAGACUGGGAUACUUCGGGAAACCGGAGCUAAUACCGGAUAAUUUUUUGAACCGCAUGGUUCAAAAGUUAAAGUCGGUCUUUUUGUCACUUAUAGAUGGAUCCGCGCUGCAUUAGCUAGUUGGUAAGGUAACGGCUUACCAAGGCAACGAAGCAUAGCCGACCUGAGAGGGUGCUCGGCCACACUGGAACUGAGACACGGUCCAGACUCCUACGGGAGGCAGCAGUAGGGAAUCUUCCGCAAUGGGCGAAAUCCUGAAGGAGCAACGCCGCGUGAGUGAUGAAGGUCUUCGGAUCGUAAAACUCUGUUAUUAGUGAAGAACAUAUGUGUAAGUAACUGUGCACAUCUUGACGGUACCUAAUCAGAAAGCCACGGCUAACUACGUG
rnacentral:rRNA from 1 species